UGGGGAAUCUUGCGCAAUGGGCGGAAGCCUGACGCAGCAACGCCGCGUGAGGGAUGACGGCCUUCGGGUUGUAAACCUCUUUCGCGAUCGACGAAGCUCGCACUGUUGGUGUGGGUGACGGUAGGUCGAGAAGAAGCACCGGCCAACUACGUGCCAGCAGCCGCGGUAAUACGUAGGGUGCGAGCGUUGUCCGGAAUUAUUGGGCGUAAAGAGCUCGUAGGCGGUGUGUCGCGUCGGCCGUGAAAACCUGGGGCUUAACUCUGGGCGUGCGGUCGAUACGGGCAUCACUGGAGUUCGGCAGGGGAGACUGGAAUUCCUGGUGUAGCGGUGAAAUGCGCAGAUAUCAGGAGGAACACCGGUGGCGAAGGCGGGUCUCUGGGCCGAUACUGACGCUGAGGAGCGAAAGCGU
rnacentral:rRNA from 1 species